rnacentral:rRNA from 1 species
AUACGGGGGGUGCAAGCGUUAAUCGGAAUUACUGGGCGUAAGGCGCGCGUAGGCGGUUUGCUCAGUCGGAUGUGAAAGCCCAGGGCUCAACCUUGGAACUGCAUACGAUACUGGCAAACUAGAGUGUGAGAGAGGAUAGUGGAAUUUCCGGUGUAGCGGUGAAAUGCGUAGAUAUCGGAAGGAACAUCAGUGGCGAAGGCGACUGUCUGGCUCAACACUGACGCUGAGGUGCGAAAGCGUGGGUAGCAAACAGGAUUAGAUACCCUAGUAGUCC